rnacentral:misc_RNA from 1 species
UCAAGACAAAGUGAGGAAAUUGAGCUUAAAAAAAAUGCUAAAACACAGAAGAUUCCACUACACGAAUGAGCCAACUGUACCCAAAAAUAUUUGCAUGACUAGUCAUGUCAAUUACAGUAACAGCAUCUCCUUUACCCCUCUCUCAAACUCAAGAGGCAACAGUAAAAAUAACAACAAUAACCGAAUAACUGUAACCACGAUGAUUCAAUUCCAAUUCCAUAACAGGAACUUAAAUAUACUAUGCUAGCUUUCCAUGCAAAAUAGCUCCUAGAGUUAGGCUUAACCACCAAACAUGGUCCUUGGUAUUUGUGCAUGGAAGAGAGUUAUGAAUUGUUGAAAAUAGACAAGAACAAGGUAUCUAGAAAAAGAUCUGGUCUUAUUUGGUCGGUUGUAUAUGUCCUUUAUGAUCUUCCUCCAUUGAUUUUGCUGCCCUUUAUUCAUGUUUUAGAUGCCACUUUUUUACUGCAAUGGGAUCGAUGUCAAAGCCAGAGAGAAAGAAGAAACACAAAGACAUGAUAAAAGUCAAAACGUACGAGGCUUCUUUAAUUUGUUCUUGUAGCAUAAGUUCCAAUGGAGA